UACGUAGGGGGCUAGCGUUGUCCGGAAUCAUUGGGCGUAAAGAGCGUGUAGGCGGUCCGGUAAGUCCGCUGUGAAAGUCGGGGGCUCAACCCUCGAAUGCCGGUGGAUACUGUCGGGCUAGAGUGCGGAAGAGGCGAGUGGAAUUCCUGGUGUAGCGGUGAAAUGCGCAGAUAUCAGGAGGAACACCUAUUGCGAAGGCGGCUCUCUGGGACGGUACUGACGCUGAGACGCGAAAGCGUGGGGAGCGAACAGG
rnacentral:rRNA from 1 species